AACCCAUGUUGUGGGCACGUCCGCAAGAAGUCCUUGAAUCGCUCCCAAAUCUCAAAUAAGGAUUUAAGCUCCAUCAGAAAAAAUGAAGAUAUCUCCUUACAUAGCUU